CGCGGUCCUCGGUAGUGAUUCCCGGGAGAGAAAAUCGGCGACGAUUUGCCCGUGGAUCUCGAUCGAUGACCGGG
rnacentral:ncRNA from 1 species